GUAGAGUAGACAAAGGUCACCUUCAAGCAAGAGUCGUCUGCUUAUUUGCCAGUUAUAAAGGCGCUGACAUUGAGGGCAGUUGGGUGUUAUUUGAACCGCAGGUUAAGGUUGUAUUUACCGAAGUUACGAACAGAUAACGAGAUAGAAAUGAGUUCGGUGAAAGAAGAACUUUUCACGCAAGUUGCGCUGCCCAAGGAUUCUUCGGGCAGCAAAGUGACAGUUGUUGGUGUUGGCCAAGUGGGAAUGGCGUGUGCUUUCAGCAUUUUGACACAGAAUGUUUCGAGUGAAAUUGUCCUGGUUGAUGUAGUCGCAGAUAAGUUGAAGGGAGAGAUGAUGGACCUUCAGCAUGGCUUGACAUUCAUGAGAAAUGUCAAAGUGAAUUCCAGCACAGAUUACUCUGUGACUGCGAACUCUAAGCUGUGCAUCGUGACGGCGGGCGCUCGCCAGAAGGAGGGGGAGAGCCGGCUGGAUCUGGUGCAGCGGAACACGGACAUUUUCAAGGGCAUCAUCCCCAAGCUAGUCAAGUACAGCCCCGACACCAUUCUCCUGAUCGUCAGCAACCCAGUGGACAUUUUGACGUACGUGGCGUGGAAGCUGAGUGGAUUGCCGAAGAACCGUGUCAUUGGCUCAGGAACUAACCUGGACUCUUCUAGAUUUCGUUUUCUCAUGUCUGAGCGAGUCAACGUUGCACCCAACAGUUGCCACGGCUGGAUAAUUGGUGAACAUGGAGAUACAAGUGUUCCAGUAUGGUCAGGCGUGAACAUAGCUGGAGUUCGUUUACGUGAUAUUGAUCCAACUAUUGGGACGGACCAAGACAAAGAGGACUGGAAAAUUUUGCACAAACAGGUUGUACAAAGUGCAUAUGAAGUGAUCAAGCUUAAAGGCUACACAUCGUGGGCGAUCGGGCUGAGUGUGGCAACACUGGCCCAAGCUAUCCUACGUAACGGAGGCAACAUACAUGCAGUUUCGACACUUGUUACAGGCCAGCACGGCAUAGACAAGGAGGUGUUCCUGUCGCUGCCGUGCGUGCUGGGGGAGAACGGUGUGACGCACAUAGUGCACCAGCUGCUCACGGACGACGAGCGGGGCAUGCUGCAGCGGUCGGCCGGCCUCAUGCACGAGGUGCAGUCCAGGCUGCAGAUGACCCAGUUGAAGGCUACGUCUUAAAGAACAUUGUACCUCUUGCCGUGUUAUCAGCUGAAGACUCCUCAUCAGGUAGCCGCACAAUAUAUUGGUGCUAGUCGUGCCAUAUUCACAAACCAAGCCAGAAUGUACGUAUGUGUACGUAUAUUGCUGAACAUGAAGACCUGCUAUUAGCUUAUGCAUCUCAGUUACUUGCUCCCCCAUCUGUACUUCCAAAUGAUAGAAACGGUGCCCUACUAUUUGUCCUUUGUUACAUGAAUUAAAAAUUUUUUUACUUUCAUUUAUUUUUGUACACUUGGUUUUCUGAGUACAUUUGUACCAUUUAAGCACUCCCUUUGAACUUGCAGGCUGUUUCUAUGUUUGUUAUCAACUGAUUCUGUGUAAACUAGUGUUAGUCAAUGUUAUAUUGCCUCAGGCUGAAAAACGUUAAAAUAACUACCGUACUUUCAUGAAUUAAAGUGAAUAUUAAAAUCACUAUGACUGACUUGUUAACAGCUUUGACCAAAACAGGAUUACAUCAUAUAACAUGAUAAUUAAAAUUAAGUAUAUAAAAUUGUUGCAAACUAAUAAGAGAAAAAAAAAAUUAUGUAUUUACAACUAUUAAGUUCAAAAUGUGAUUUAAACAUUUUAAAGUUUACUUUUUUACUAAAUAUUAUAUUAGUUGGUAUGCAAAUUGAGAUAUAUAUAUAAUUAACGAUUUCAUUGUUUAUGAUAAAAAUCUUUUGAGCUUAUGAUCAGAAUAAAAUGAGCUGGGUGUUAGAUGUGUCAAGACCUGAACCAAUUUUUGUGGUUUCAUUGUGUGAAAAUAAUGAUUAGCAGAUAAUUUUUUAAGGAUUUUUACAGGGUGGAAUCAUGAUCCACAUCUGCAUUAGCUCAUCCACAGUUUAUUGUAAAGGAAACUAGAUGAAGCAGUAAAACCUUACAAAGCUAUUUACACAGUGAUAAAUUCAAUUAUCCAAAUUUGUUUAACCAGAUAUAAGAAGUGCUUUUUGAAAAAUUUUAUUUCAUUUGCAGGACACUAGUUAGCAUCACUAUUUAUAUUUGAAAAUUGUUAUCUAGUUAACUACAAAAUGAUGUAUGAUUUGGCAAAAAAAAAAAAAAAAAAAAAAAAAAAAUGUUUAAAUAAAAUGCAAUUCUAUUUUUUUUAAAAAAAUUAAGUUUAAACUAAAAAUAGUGAAAAUUUUUUGGUUAUUUUACACCUUUUAAUUUGCAUGUGUUGUAACAGCAGUCUGUGUAUUACCAACCAAUCAUGUGCCAUACUAAGAUUCCGACUUAGCGUCAAAACUCAAAAGUUUUAAAGUGCUAGUGUAAUAUGUUAACAGAUUUAAAGGUUUUAAAUGUCCAUAUUAAUACACAUGAAGCUGAUCAAUAUAUAAGUGUUGUUAUAAAGAAAGUUACCUGCAGUUUAUAGUUUUGGUAUUUGUUUACAUAUAUUUAUUUUUACAUUUUGUAUCAUAAUUUUUGUAGUAUUGUCAGCUGCUGUAAUCUUUAUUAUGUAUGUACAAAUAAACUUGUUUUCAGUGUUGGAAAAUGUA